rnacentral:rRNA from 1 species
CCUACGGGUGGCAGCAGUGGGGAAUAUUGGACAAUGGGGGGAACCCUGAUCCAGCCAUGCCGCGUGUGUGAAGAAGGCCCUCGGGUUGUAAAGCACUUUCAGUGAGGAAGAACGCCUGGUGGUUAAUACCCAUCAGGAAAGACAUCACUCACAGAAGAAGCACCGGCUAACUCCGUGCCAGCAGCCGCGGUAAUACGGAGGGUGCGAGCGUUAAUCGGAAUUACUGGGCAUAAAGCGCGCGUAGGUGGCUUGAUAAGCCGGUUGUGAAAGCCCCGGGCUCAACCUGGGAACGGCAUCCGGAACUGUCAAGCUAGAGUGCAGGAGAGGAAGGUAGAAUUCCCGGUGUAGCGGUGAAAUGCGUAGAGAUCGGGAGGAAUACCAGUGGCGAAGGCGGCCUUCUGGACUGACACUGACACUGAGGUGCGAAAGCGUGGGUAGCAAACAGGAUUAGAUACCCGGGUAGUC